GGGCCCAGCGAGCACUGACUCCUGCGCUUUGACUCCUGCCGGGCGGUGGCCACAUUCCUCCCGUCAACAAGGGGGGCACCGAGGCCCGCAGUGUGGGGGACUUCGCAGGCAGCCGUCAGAGGCACCUGCUGCGUCCGGCCCUGCAACCUGCCUUAGCUCAAGCCACUCCCCACCGAGGUAAACACCUAGGAAUGGGGUGGCUGGGCUGUAUGGUUUCGGCAUAGCUCAACACGACACUGUUACUGACGGCUUCCCUGGUGGCACAGUGGUUAAGAAUCCGCCUGCCAAUUCAGGGGACACGGGUUUGAGCCCUAGUCCCGAAAGAUCCCACAUGCCGUGGAGCAACUAAGCCCAUGCACUACAACUACUGAACCUGUGCUCUAGAGCCCGCGAGCCACAACUGCUGAAACCCGUGCACCUAGAGUCCGUGCUCUGCAACAAGAGAAGCCACCGCAAUGAGAGGCCCGCGCACCGCAACUAAGAGUAGCCCCCGCUCGCCGCAACUAGAGAAAAUCUGCGCACAGCAAUGAAGACCCAAUGCAGCCAAAAAUAAAUAAAAUUUUAAAAAUUCCAGUUAAAUCUGCAAAUAUAUCGAUUGAUAGUGAUAUCUAUCAACAUUCAAAAUACACCUACCCUUAUUAAGUAACUUUAUUUCCAGGUAUUUUCACUACAGACCUACAGCAAUACACAGAGACAUCCUUAACCACCUGUCUUCUUCAUUUUUGUACCCAAGCAGCUGAAUGUAGCUGAAGAAAAGCAUACAAUCAGGCAGACAGGUUUCACUUUAAAUAUGAUUCCAUACCUCAGAUGUGUUCUUGGUGCCACCAG